UAACUCCUGACCUCAAGUGAUCCGCCCACCUCGGCCUCCCAAAGUGCUGGGAUUACAGGCAUGAGCCACCGCUCCGGGCCCUUGCACAUAUUUUUUUAUGAACACACAGGCAGCAGCACUUUGAUUACAGUAACUUACAUGGAAGUUAUUUUAAAAUGGCUUUCCCCUUCUCUUUUUCAUGUAGGCUGCAUUUUUCAUCUGCAGCACGCUUUCUCUCAAGAAUCUCAAGCACACACAAGAAACCAGAGAGUAAAAUCACUGAGGCGUGAACACAUCCAGAGACCAAGGGCGUCACUGGCAGAAAAGCUUUUAGGCGGAUCCACGGCCCGAGAGCCACCCUGCCCAGAGACGCGGUUUCCUAGGAGCAGUUCACACGCGGCUCUGCAGCACCCACAAGCGGGGCCAGGGGCUGGUUUUCAUAGUUCACAGUCUGCAGGGAUCUUAACAAAAACAUGGCCGUGGUAAAAGUGCCUAGACCAGGCUUUCGUCACAACUCAGUGAGUAGGAAGACUAGUUAGGCUGAUGAAAAGCUCUGAUGAUGUGUGAUUAAAAGUAGGAAAACGUGGUUGCCAAAUAAAAUAUUUUACUAUAUAGUCAGGGGGAGAGAUGGGGAUAAAAAAAUGUGGAAACCAUUUAUUUUAAAAUUUUGACUGUUCCUGCAGUGUUUAAAAUAUAGGAGAUAUAUUCUGAUUAUCUUUAGAAAGAAACUGCUCUCAAUCUAUUUGUAUGUCUUCCCUCUGGUUUUAAAAUAUUAAACAAUCAUCUAACUCAAUAUUUAAUUUUACCUCUAGUCAUGUUACUAGGUUAGGAUAAUAAAAAGGACUGUGAACUUCACAUCUGCCAUCUAUAAUAGAUUCUUAUUGUAGCAAUCUUGCACCAAGGGGAUUUCUUUAUUAACUCUGCCAAAUUUUCCAAAAUUACCAAAUGGAGAAAAGAGCUGGUCCCAUCUGUCACCAGGCACAACCAGGAAGUGUCAGAAGACUUUCAGAAGCACAUGCAGUUGCAGCUCCAGUGUUUCAACAGUUGCCCAUUUCCAAGGCCUCCUAAAUACGUAUGAGGCCUGUGGACAACUUUCUCCUCAGCUGUUACAGAACCUGGACAACUUGUAGUGAAGACCUUCCACACCAGUAACAUAUUUUGGUGAGCCAGUCGGGAGUUGGCUAGAUUAGUUCCCCAGUCUGUCUUCUCGCCACUCUGGAUGUCCACAUGAGAGGACCCAAGCACGAAUGGUUAGAAAGAUGAACUUGGAACCUCAGACGAGAAUAUGAGAAACAUAAACAGAGACAUAUGACAACCUAAAAAAUGGAGUACAAUACCAAUAAGAAUAACGAUUA
rnacentral:lncRNA from 1 species